CCUACGGGAGGCAGCAGUGGGGAAUAUUGGACAAUGGGCGCAAGCCUGAUCCAGCAACGCCGCGUGUGUGAAGAAGGUCUUCGGAUUGUAAAGCACUUUCGACAGGGACGAUGAUGACGGUACCUGUAGAAGAAGCCCCGGCUAACUUCGUGCCAGCAGCCGCGGUAAUACGAAGGGGGCUAGCGUUGCUCGGAAUUACUGGGCGUAAAGGGCGCGUAGGCGGCGUGAUCAGUCAGGCGUGAAAUUCCUGGGCUUAACCUGGGGGCUGCGCUUGAUACGGUCGUGCUAGAGGGCAGAAGAGGGUCGUGGAAUUCCCAGUGUAGAGGUGAAAUUCGUAGAUAUUGGGAAGAACACCGGUGGCGAAGGCGGCGACCUGGUCUGUUACUGACGCCGAGGCGCGAAAGCGUGGGGAGCAAACAGGAUUAGAUACCCUGGUAGUCCACGCUGUAAACGAUGUGCGCUGGAUGUUGGGUGACCUAGUCACUCAGUGUCGUAGCUAACGCGGUAAGCGCACCGCCUGGGGAGUACGGCCGCAAGGUUGAAACUUAAAUGAAUUGACGG
rnacentral:rRNA from 1 species